rnacentral:misc_RNA from 1 species
GAUGAAGAACGUAGCGAAAUGCGAUAAGUAAUGUGAAUUGCAGAAUUCAGUGAAUCAUCGAAUCUUUGAACGCACAUUGCGCCCCCCAGUAUUCUGGCGGGCAUGCCUGUUCGAGCGUCAUUUCAACCAUCAAGCCCUGCUUGUGUUGGGGUCCUGCGGCUGCCCGCAGGCCCUGAAAACCAGUGGCGGGCUCGCUAGUCACACCGAGCGCAGUAGCACAUCUCGCUCAGGGCGUGCGGCGGGCUCCAGCCGUUAAAGCACCCACCUUUCGCAAGGUUGACCUCCGAUCAGGUAGGAAUACCCGCUGAACUUAAGCAUAUCAAUAAGGGAGGA